UCAGACGAUGCGUCAUGCAUAUCAAUAAGCGGAGGAAAAGAAACUAACAAGGAUUCCCCUAGUAACGGCGAGUGAAGCGGGAAGAGCUCAAAUUUGAAAUCUUAAAGGGUUUCCCUUUACGAAUUGUAGUUUAAAGAAGUGUUUUCUGUUGAGGUUUUGGUAAAAGUUCUUUGGAAUAGGACAUCAUAGAGGGUGAGAAUCCCGUAUUUGACCUUUACUUUCAACUUUGUGAUACACUUUCAAAGAGUCGGAUUGUUUGGGAAUGCAGUCCAAAAUGGGUGGUAAAUUUCAUCUAAAGCUAAAUAUUGGCGAGAGACCGAUAGCGAACAAGUACCGUGAGGGAAAGAUGAAAAGAACUUUGAAAAGAGAGUUAAACAGUACGUGAAAUUGUCAAAAGGGAAGCGUUUGACACCAGUGUUGUUUUUCUGAAAAUCAAUUAAAGAACUGUUUAUGCUAAGCUGUUUAGACUUUAUCAGCUAACUGUUUAGUUUUGAGCUUUUCUUUAAUGCACUUUUCAGUUAACAAGUCAACAUCAAUUUCUUUUGCUGUAAAAAAGCUUGAGGAAGGUGGCUUGAGAUUCGUCUUAAGUGUUUAUAGCCUCUUGCCUAUGCAGUCGGAGAGAUUGAGGUCUGCAGCGUAGAUCCUUCGGGGCUAAAUGCAUUUGUGCUAAGUUAUAGCAUUUUAUAGACAACUUGUUGACUAUGAUUUGUCUUGUAGCUUACUCGCUUAUGUUAUUUUACCUACGCUUAGGAUGUUGAAGAUGUAGCACAUCAUACACGCAUGAUACACUGCAUAUCAAUAAGCGGAGGAAAAGGAGUAUACCUACGCUUAGGAUGUUGAAGAUGUAGCACAUCAUACACGCACGACACAAUGCAUAUCAAUAAGCGGAGGAAAAGGCUGCGGAACUGAACGACCGCUACCUACGCUUAGGAUGUUGAAGAUGUAGCACAUCAUACACGCACGACACACUGCAUAUCAAUAAGCGGAGGAAAAGUACCUACGCUUAGGAUGUUGAAGAUGUAGCACAUCAUACACGCAUGACACACUGCAUAUCAAUAAGCGGAGGAAAAGCAUAACAUGUAUACCUACGCUUAGGAUGUUGAAGAUGUAGCACAUCAU
rnacentral:rRNA from 1 species